UUUCCGUAGUGAACUGCGGAAGAUCAUUAAUAAAUGGUCUACGUUUUUUAAGUAGACGCUUAAUAAUCUACCUUGUGAAUUUGUUGUUUGAAAUAAUUUUUUUUAAAAUUAUUGAUUGUCUUCCCUGUUGAAUGGUUGUCUUAAUGGCAAUGAUUCGCAGGGUGUCAGUAAUUUUUAAAAGACUUUUUAAAAUUAAACUUUUGUAUUCAUUUGUCUAAAAUAUUUUAUAAUAUAAAACAACUUUUGACAAUGGAUCUCUUGUUCUCGCAACGAUGAAGAACGCAGCAAAAUGCGAUAAGUAGUGUGAAUUGCAGAAUACGUGAAUCAUCGAAUCUUCGAACGCAUAUUGCACUUUUUUAGUUACUAAAAAGUAUGUCUGUUUGAGUAUCAGUAAAUAUUCUCAUAAAACUUUUGUUUUUAUGUUAUGGGUGUUUACAACGAUACAGUUGUUCACUUUAAAUUUUUUUAAAUUUGAAUUUUCUAAUUUAAAAUAAAAUUGGAUAAAAUUUUCCGUAAAAAGGAAUAACCUAAACAAUUUAAUUUUUGAUUAGAAUCUUCAUUAUAAAGGAAAUUAACUAAUAACUUGAUCUCAAUCAGAUAAGAGUACCCGCUGAACUUAAGCAUAUCAAUAAGCGGAGGAAAGAAACUAACAGAUCCCUUAGUAACGGCGAGUGAAGCGGAAGAGCUCAAAUUUGAAAUCUUCAAGUUUUACCUUGACGAUUGUAGUUUAAAGAAGUGUUUUCUGUUGAAGUUUGGUAAAGUUCUUGGAAUAGGACUAUAGAGGGUGAGAAUCCCGUAUUUGACCAUUAUUUCAGCUGUGUGAUACACUUUCAAAGAGUCGGAUUGUUUGGGAAUGCAGUCCAAAAUGGUGGUAAAUUUCAUCUAAGCUAAUAUGGCGAGAGACCGAUAGCGAACAAGUACCGUGAGGGAAAGAUAAAGAACUUGAAAAGAGAGUUAAACAGUACGUGAAAUGUCAAAGGAAGCGCUUGACACCAGUGUGUUUUCUCGAAAUCAAUUAAAAAAGUUGGAUUUUGUGUUGUAUGACCUUAACAGCUUGCUUCACUCUUUCUUGCUUUUUUUAAUGCACUUUUCGUUAACAAGUCAACAUCAGUUCUUUUGUUGUAAAAGGGUCAUUGGAAGUGGCUUCUCUUCGGAGAAAGUGUUUAUAGCCUUUGAUCUCUGCAAUCGGAGAGACUGAGGUUGCAGCGUAGAUCUUCGGGUUAGAUACAUUGUGCUAAGCUACAGCUUUUCAUAGACAACUUGUUGACUAUGUUUAGUCUUGUACUUACCCGCUUAUGCUAUU
rnacentral:misc_RNA from 1 species